CCCUUAGAUGUUCUGGGCCGCACGCGCGCUACACUGACGAAUGCAACGAGCUUAUAACCUUGGCCGAAAGGUCUGGGUAAUCUCCAAAUUUCGUCGUGAUGGGGAUAGAUUAUUGCAAUUAUUAAUCUUCAACGAGGAAUGCCUAGUAAGCGAAAGUCAUCAGCUUGCGUUGAUUACGUCCCUGCCCUUUGUACACACCGCCCGUCGCUCCUACCGAUUGAAUGGUCCGGUGAAGCGCUCGGACCGCGGCCUCUUGACGGUUCGCUGUCGAUUGGCUGUGGGAAGUUCGUUAAACCUUAUCAUUUAGAGGAAGGAGAAGUCGUAACA
rnacentral:rRNA from 1 species